rnacentral:rRNA from 1 species
UACGUAGGGGGGCAAGCGUUGUCCGGAAUCAUUGGGCGUAAAGCGCGCGUAGGCGGCCCUGUAAGUCCGUUGUGAAAGUCAAAGGCUCAACCUUUGAAAGCCGAUGGAUACUGCAGGGCUAGAGUCCGGAAGAGGCGAGUGGAAUUCCUGGUGUAGCGGUGGAAUGCGCAGAUAUCAGGAGGAACACCAAUAGCGAAGGCAGCUCGCUGGGACGGUACUGACGCUAAGGCGCGAAAGCGUGGGGAGCGAACG